rnacentral:lncRNA from 1 species
GGAGUGUUAUAGAAAGGCUUCAGAGGAGUCUAAGAUACUAUGAAGCUGGUGCAAAGAUAGGGUCAAGUCCAGGAGGGACUUAGACACCAUUUGGAGAUAGUUGGGUGAUGGUGCAAAAAUAGGGCGAGGUACGGACAGGUGGUCCGUACCAUCCUGUAGCAGCUUGUGGACGUUUGUGGAUAAGGCCAGGCUGUCAUGAGCUGAAGUGAGCUGUAAAGUUAAAGGAGCAUGGACCAUGUAUCUGGUCUGAUACAUGUGAAGGUUCAUAGGAGCCUAUAAGCAGCCAAUCAGAAGCCAGCCCUUGCUUUGACCAGAUUUGAAUUAACCAAUCAGACACCAUCAUCUAUCAUCCAAUCACAAGACAUCACACAGAUUGCAAACUCACUCUCCAUCCUAGCCAUCCAUUCAUCUCAAGUUAUUUCUAUCCAUUAGAUUAAGGGUUUAUGUAAUUCCAAAGUGUAAAGCCUAUAUAAAGGCUAUGUAGUGGCAAUUUGUAACCAUAAGGGAGUAAGGGGGAGUUCCCCUCUCCACUUCAUGAAUGAUAAACUUGUUCUUGAAUCUGAAACCCUAAUCUCUAAUCUCUUAUUCUCCUAAUCUCUCAGUAUCUUAAUCUUUGUUCCUAAGUCUCUUAUUCUCCCAUAAACACUCUCAUCAAUCUCUUUUUCUAAAUCACCUAGAGCAAGCUCUCAUCUUUCUCCAUUGGAGUUUUACACACACACAUACAACCAGAGAAGAGAACUCUACAAAUCUCAUAUGGUAUCAGAGCCAGGUUCAUCUGAACUUUGUGUUGCUUCCGCCUAAGCUCACAGCUCCCUCCCAUGCCAUUUCAAGCUGAUAAGAAGCUUCAUGUUCAGUCCGGCUGUUCUACAUCUUCAAGAAGAAGAAGUUCAAUCCUAGACAUCCAGAAGCUCUUCUCAGUCCAGCCUUACUCUCUCAUGAACGCCCUUGAAGGAAGAAGGUCCCUGGAAGAAAAGGUUAUGGAGUGGCCUUACUAACCUCUCCAUGAAAACCAGUUCCAAGCGCCCCUUUCUCACUGUCCUAGAAGAAAGGUGAUAGCUUUCAACAUGGAUCUGGUGUGGCGAGUUCAAACCAUGAAGAAAGGUGGUGUCUAUGACAUGGUGAGUUGAAGAGGAUGGUUCAUGGAAGAAAGUCUUGUGGCUGUCUUACAUUGAAGCAUUAGAUUCAUGUCUAAAUUGCUGAGUAAAGAAGCUUAAAAAUGCCUAAGUAGCUUGCAUAAAUCUGGAAAAGAAAGUGCUUGUGCUUAGAGAGGUUGUUUGCAAAGAUAGAACUUGAAAAUGACUUGUUUUAAUCUGUUGCAAUGCUUGUGAGAUUGAGAAUCAAACUUGAUGAUUAAUCAAGGAUUGAUCCCAAUACUCUUGUGUCUUAUCUUUGCUGGAGUUUGAGUGGUGUUUCAGGUUCACAAGAAGUGUUCUUUGCUCACCACCUAUCCAAGACAAGAGGAAGACUUGAUCCAUUGUGUGGAGCAAUGGGAAGAUACUUGUGUGUAGAAGCCGGUUUAAGAAGCGCAGGCCACGAGGUUGUUGAGCUCCUGGUUCAAGACACACAAGAAGAAUACUUGAUCCAUUGUGUGGAGCAACGGGAAGGUGCUUGUGUGUAGAAGCCAGUUUAAGAAGCGCAGGCCACGAGGUUGUUGAGCUCCUGGUUCAAGACACACAAGAAGAAGAAGGUCAUCACCUAAGUCAUGAGGAAGGACGGUGAUCUGAGGGUACUUGAAGCUGAAGGCAAAAGGGUGGAUCAGUGAUUUAAGCGCAACUGUUAGGGUGGUGUGCUCCUGGUCUUGAAGUUCAUUGAGGCUCAUUUCAAGCUUGAACCUAUACUCAAUUCAAGCUUGCGGUGGGGAUUCAAAUGAGCAACCUGAAGAGCCAAAGUUCAAGACUUGUUUCCUCCUUAUCAUUACAAGAGAAUAAUAAGAUGAAGCCUAUUGCCAACAUUCUGUGGAGAAGUCCACAGUCUGCUCCAAAGAGGGUAGAGAGGAUGUUGUGACCAUGGAGAGAUAAAGCCUAUUGCCAACAUUCUGUGGAGAAGUCCACAGCCUGCUCCAAAGAGGGUAGAGAGGAUGUUGUGACAAUGGAGAGAUGAAUCUUAUUACCAACAUUCUGUAGAGAAGUCCACACACUGCUCCAAAGAGGGUAGAGAGGAUGUUGUGACAAUGGAGAGAUGAAGCCUAUUGCCAACAUUCUGUGGAGAAGUCUGCAGCCUGCUCCAAAGAGGGUAGAGAGGAUGUUGUGACAAUGGAGAGGUGACUUGCGGUUCUGUCCAUGGUGGUUUAGUCACCAUAGCCUACACAUCAGAUGAGUGUAGAGAAGACAGUAGACAUGCAAGGAAGAGCAUCACCAGGAGGGUGAUGCAAUUAAGACCAAGACCAUUGCAAUCUGAUCAUGGAGAAGUGGGGCUGUAAGCAUCAAGUCGGAAGAAGAUGGAGGUGUUCCCACAAGAAUGAUCAUAGAGCUUAGUAUCCGCUCACCUUCAAGCUUGGACCUUCCCUAUACUCGGUCUCAAGCUUGAGGGGGAGUGUUGGUGAGCUUGCAUGAUACAAGGAGCUGUUAAGCUCAGCAAGUAAGGGAUUCAAGUGACGAGCCAAUCCAGUCACUCCUCACCAAAACAAAAGGGAAGUUUCCCUAAACUCAAUUCAAUUCAUCAUUUUCAAGUAUUUAGUAAUCUAUUAGGAAUACUAGUGUUACUAGACAGCAACAUAUCUAGUAAUCUAUCAGGAAUACUAGUUUUACUAAAGACGGUCUGUCGAGAAAAAAAAAAAACUAAAGACGGUCUAUAAGCAUCAUUUGAAUUUGAAUUGAUUGAGUUAUGUUACUUGAUAAGUACUAAUACACUUGUGGAAGAAUGUAUCAGGUAGCUUACUUGGAGAUUCAAUGGAGAGGAUCAGGUCGCUCCUAGCCUUUCAAGAUGGCAUGAAGUCCGGUGAAAGGGGGAGACACUAAACCGGUUCUAUAAAAGAGUCCAAGAAGGUGUGGUAAAGUGUGCGCAAAACUUGAAGUGUUGCUGCACCUGUUUAGGCCGUGAUCUAGAGCUUCUUGUGUCCAACCACACUGGUUCUAGGGCACAAGAGCUCACUGGCCAAUCCUUAGGCCUUGUUGGCUCUACUCUUUUUCCCUCAUCAAGGUUUUGUCCCAAAGGGUUUUCCUUGGUGAGGUUUUUAAUGAGGGAGUUCUUCAAGGUUCCAAGCUUGACUUAGGAUCGCCUAGAGUCAAGCUUGAGGGGGAGUGUUAACUUGAAGAAAGAAAUGGAUCCAAAGGAGGAGUUGAGUUGAGUUUGAGUCUUGUGCAAGAAUAGGGCAAGUCUUCCAGAGAUUGUCUGAUAGGCUUCAGGAGUGUUAUAGAAGGGCUUCAGAGGAGUCUAAGAUACUAUGAAGCUGGUGCAAAGAUAGGGUCAAGUCCAGAAGGGACUUAGACACCAUUUGGAAUUGUUGGGUGAUGGUGCGAAAAUAGGGCGAGGUACGGACAGGUGGUCCGUACCAUCGACCGUACUUGUUCCGGAUCAACCCGAAGUGAAGAACGGCAAAGAUAGGGUGCUGGUUCAGCAAGAAGAGAGGUG